rnacentral:tRNA from 1 species
UAUAUUUUAGUGUAAGAUGCACUAUAGUUUUUGAUACUAUCAGAUAUAGUUUAAUUUCUAUAAAAUAUAA